rnacentral:rRNA from 1 species
UACGUAGGGGGCUAGCGUUGUCCGGAAUCAUUGGGCGUAAAGGGCGCGUAGGCGGUUCGUUAAGUCCUGUGUGAAAUCCCCCGGCUCAACUGGGGAACUGCACAGGAAACUAGCGGGCUUGAGUUCGGGAGAGGGAAGCGGAAUUCCGGGUGUAGCGGUGAAAUGCGUAGAUAUCCGGAGGAACACCGGUGGCGAAGGCGGCUUCCUGGACCGACACUGACGCUGAGGCGCGAAAGCUAGGGGAGCAAACGGG